rnacentral:rRNA from 1 species
CAGUAGCCGCGGUAACACGUAGGUGGCAAGCGUUGUCCGGAAUUAUUGGGCGUAAAGGGCUCGCAGGCGGUUUCUUAAGUCUGAUGUGAAAGCCCCCGGCUCAACCGGGGAGGGUCAUUGGAAACUGGGAAACUUGAGUGCAGAAGAGGAGGGUGGAAUUCCACGUGUAGCGGUGAAAUGCGUAGAGAUGUGGAGGAACACCAGUGGCGAAGGCGACUCUCUGGUCUGUAACUGACGCUGAGGAGCGAAAGCGUGGGGAGCGAACAGGAUUAGAUACCCCCGUAGUCCCUGUCUCUUAUAC